GGGUAAGUGGCGGAAUUGGCAUACGCGCUAGACUUAGGAUCUAGUCCUGAAUAAGGGUGGGGGUUCAAGUCCCCCCUUACCCACUA
rnacentral:tRNA from 1 species